AAAAAAGUUUUAUCUUCGCCUCCAUAAAAAAAAAAGAGAAAAAAUAAAUAUAGAAAGUGAACUUUUUUUCUGAAUCACACUUCCUUGCUUGAGAGGAAGAACUAUUGUCCUAAAGAUCAGAGCUGAACCGAGAUCUCUCUGGAGAGAGAGAGAGAGAAAAUGAGCAUGGCUAGUGAGGAAGCAGUCAGCAAUUACGUACUUUGAUGGAAGAUGUUGAAGAUGAAUCACUGAGAGAGUCGUAUCGGAACAUACAUCAAGGGUAUCCCCAGAGACUUUGUUGCGCUUUCUUAAAGCCAGAGAUUUUUGUCCACAAAUCUCACAAAAUG